GCACCCUUGGUGUAACUGGAUAACACAUAGGAUUUCUACUCCUAUACUCCGAGUUCAAGUCUUGGAGGGUGUA
rnacentral:tRNA from 1 species